CCAGAGAAAUUUGGAAUAAUACCCCAUACGAUCAAUGAUUGGCAUCGAUUAUUGAAGAAAACUCCGGUGGUAGAAGAUGGGCAUGCGUCCUAUUAGUUAGUUGGUGAGGUAACGGCUCACCAAGACAUCGAUAGGUAGGGGCCCUGAGAGGGGGAUCCCCCACACUGGUACUGAGACACGGACCAGACUCCUACGGGAGGCAGCAGUGAGGAAUAUUGGACAAUGGGGGCAACCCUGAUCCAGCCAUGCCGCGUGCAGGAAGACUGCCCUAUGGGUUGUAAACUGCUUUUAUACAGGAAGAAACCUACUUACGUGUAAGUAGCUGACGGUACUGUAAGAAUAAGGAUCGG
rnacentral:rRNA from 1 species